UCACAAUCCCCUCGAGGGGGUGAGGCUGGGUCCCAGCAUUUGGAUUUCCUCUGCUUUUGUUGUUAUUGAUUUUUUGCAUUUCUCCCUGAGGGGCCUGGGGCAGCCAUGUCUCGGAUCCGGUGGCAAGGGUGCCGCCUGCUGCCUGCUAUUUUAAGGGAUGAGGUGCUGAGUGGGGCAGGCUGUGCCGGGAAUCGUGGGCUGCAGUGCGGGCAUGUGGCCUGCAGACCCCAUGUCCCCAGCCCUGCCCGACAUCCCAGAAAGGUGUGGGCGCUCACUUGUGGUCAGCUGGGAGGACAGUGGGGAUGUCAGUUUCUUUUUCGCCCCUCUGAAUUUUCUUGGAAGCUGCCUCUUUGCAGUCGGCUUGCUCUAAGCCCCUGGCUGAGGGGAGGCUGCAGAACCAGAGGCCAGGGGACAGCCAGGCCCCUGAAGGUGCGUUUCUUUUCCUUUCUUCAAAAGACAGCUUCCUGGUGUUGUCUGAGUUCUCCAGGUUCUGAAAUCCUCAGGGCCCAGCAGACACGGCACCCCUCACACUGCAGUUCAGGGUCAGAAUGUCAAGGAAGCGUGAAUCUGACAAGAUGGCCCUGGACAGUUGGGUGGUGCUAAUGUUUGGGAAAUCUCUGGAAUUAAAAGAUAGAGGUGGGUCCUGUGUUUCAGGAAGAGUCAACAUUUUUCUCUUGGGGCCACCUUUAUGGAAGUAUAACACACAUUAUAGAAAGGGGCCCCUGUGCCAGGCACUGUGGUGCAGGGCUGUACUCUCAGCGACUUGCGAGGCUGAGGCAGGAGGAUCACAAGUUCAAGGCCAGCCUCAGCAAAUUAUCAAGACCCAGUCUCUAAACAAAAAAUAAAAAGGGCUGGGGAUGUGGCUCUGGGUUACACACACACACACACACACACACACGAGAAAAAAGAACAAGGCACCUUAGUGUGGAGCACUAGCUGCCCACACGUGGAACACAUUUGCGCAGCCCGACCAACGCUGCCAGCACCCAGAGCCCCCUGAGGCCCCUUCCUGACAGUGCUCCCUGCAGGCUGGGUGUCCUCCUGUGCUGGCCUGGAGGCUGCAGGGCACAUGCACCCAGCAUGUUGGCUUUGUCACUGGACCUGGAUCUGCAGGAGUGUCCCUACUGCCCCCGGGUAGCUGCAGUGGCCAUGUUGUAUGGAUUGAGGCUGCUUUUAAUGAAGAAAGCCUCGCACUCUCCGCACCCCCGUCUGCCCAGGGACAGUGGAUUGGAUGGGAAGCUAAUGUUUCAGACAAGCAGUUAGACACCACUCUCGAAGGCUAAGUAUAGACACCAGCCUUCUUUCCCCUUCCAGGGCCUGACCCAGGGACCAGGGAGGGCUGGAAAGGAUGCCAUGUGACCGAGCCAUAGCAGUAGAAGGUCCUAAAACAGAGAAUGGCAGGGCCUGGCAGGAGGGGAUCCUGCGGGCGGCGCCUUGCUCUGUGCGCAGCUCAGCUGUUGGGCCGAGCCUCGCUGCUUCCUGGCCACAGCCUCCUCUUCAGGAAGACCUAUGAUAAUGGCUCCUGCCCGCUGGCUGUGGUGUGUGCUUACCCAGCGCCAGCAAGGAUGGCUAUGUUGUGGUCAGUGGGCUCAACAGGGAGGACUGUGUGCUGUUUCUCAGGUGAGCAGUGGCACCCAAGGGUCUCAACAGCGAGUGGCUUAGGGACUGCCCUUAAAGGUCACAGAACAAGUCGUGGAAGGGUGAGGUGCUAAGAUGCACCAGUUCUCCCGGUGCAUCAUAAUGCACAUAUCAGGUUGCAUUAGAAUCUUUAAUGACACUGCUGGAAAACUCGUAGACAAAAUGCUUUCUUAGGCCUCAAUGCUAUCAAAAUAAGAUGUGUGCUCAGACCCAGUCCUGCAGCUCUCAGAACCCAGAUUCUACACGAGAAAGACAUGAUAAAGCACGACGAUGGCCUCUUCAUUGAAAUAGCACACAACUGGGCAGAACUCGAGCAUUCCUCAGGCGUUGGCUUUGCAUGUCCCCACUGUGGAACAGGAGCAGGUUGUAAAGAUGGAUUGAUUGGGAGUUCCUGUGAGUCGGCAUGGAGACGUCGCCAAGAUAUGAAAGCCAAAUGCAGAGAAAUGUCCAUAAUAUGCUACCAUCUGUGCAAAAAUGAGAGGCAUGAAAAUUCUCAGGAUAAAUAAAAACUGGAGAACAGGGCGUGUGGGGCGAGAGCGUCCUUUCCACUGUACUUCUUUUUCCUUUUUGGUGUUUUGGUGUUUACCUAUUGAGAAAAUCCCCUGAAGACCUAUCGCCAGCCGCUGGAAAUCAGGACAGCCAUGGAAAUAAGCGGCUCCUCCUCUUCUGACACCUGGGGCAUCUGGCAGCCCUGGGCUCAUGUGGCAGCAAGGAGCUGGAGCCUCUGAGGGGCUGAGACCCUGAGAGCCAGAGACCCAGGGCUUGGG
rnacentral:lncRNA from 1 species